AGCUCGGCGGCGGCGAGGGCGCUGCGCGGCGCGGUGAGGGGCGCGCAGGUAGGCGCGGCUGGAGCGGAGCCGGAGCAGCGCUGCCAACUCCCCCGCCGCGGCCCCGCAUUGACCCCGGCCCGGGGCUGCGGAGAGGCAGCAAAAUGCUGGGUUUAGAAGACUGCGAGCCAGUUUCCUGCAUACUACUAUAAUUAAUUUGCGUGCGGAGAUCAAAGAUCCGAGGGCGAAGGAAAUAAUUGAUUCUGCCAGAAAACGCUUCCCUGGCGCAGCCCACGGUCAGCCGCCACCCACGGCAGAUCCAGUGCUGCUCUGUUCCCCCAGCACCCUGCACGGUGGCCCUCGCAGAGUGCCCAUCCUCCUCCCCUGUACCCUGAACGCAGCCGGUGGCCAAACACCUUCCCGAGGUGCUCGAGUCCCUCCAUCUUCGAUAAAAAUGAAGCGGACUACGAGGGAUGACAUGGGUCCAGGCUGAAACUCCACACGCUGUAUUUAUUUCGUGCAGUUCGAUGCAGGCCCUCUCAUUUCAGCUGUUUGAAACGAUGUGUCACUAGGAAGAGGUCACAGGUGACUGGCAAGUUCAACCUACUUAGCUCAAUUAUCCAAGUUUCAUUUUCAAAUUGUGUUCAAUUUGAUCUUCCUGCUUCCCUCCAAAUUAUCUCAGAGGAAAAAAAAUCAAAUGAAAGCAGACAAUUUAAGCCAAAUCCUGUAUACCAUUAUUUAUAUGCAAAACCAUUUUUGUGAUAUAUACUCCCCUUAAUGACUAUGGAAUGCCAGAUCUUUCCAAGCGAAUUUACAAACCUAGCCAUCAAAUUAUUUCAAAGGCAGGCCUAUUAGGGACAAAAAUAAUUAUGAACUUUCAGGAGCUUUGUAAAAACAUAAGUUUCUGAAUGUUGUCUCUUUAAAUUUUUCUUAAGUUUGUUUUUAGUUUAAGCCUGGAGGCACAGUAGAGAGAUAUGCAGAGUCUAAUAAGGAAGUUGGAAAAUAAUGUGCUGUAAUCCAGUGCCGAGCUACUUCUCCAUAAAAUAUGGAUAAGGAAUCAAUUCAUAAGCACAAAUAUCUACUAAGAUAGAGUUUUAACAAACAUUUCACAUGAGCAUUCUUAUAUGCAUUAUUAAGUAGAUAACAAAAGUGCUUCAAAUCAAGCCCUAUACAGUCACAUCUGGAAAUGGUCUUUUCUGUCUAAUUUUCUUUUUUUUCCUCUCAAAAAAGGUUAGAAGAAAAACUAGUCUGCCCCCUUGUAUAUUAAUUGUUACCAUCAGCUUUUAAUCAGCAACAUGUAUAGUUAGAUUUACAGAAUCCAUUCCAUGUUGCCCCUUUAGAGAACAGUAAAAUGAAGAUAGUAUCUUUAUUUACAGAAUCUGAUGUUAAAACCAGACCCGCACACAAGCAGCAUAUACAUUGCUCUAUGCAUAUAGACAGGCGUGUAGAUACAUAGACACAACACACUUAUACAUGGAAACGAGUCAUGACCAUGUGUUGGAAAACAUAAUAAAAAGUAUCUGUGCAUUUCACCACAUCCUGAGUCAGACAUCAUCAGAUAAGAAGCAACCUAGGGAAAACUAGUUUAUAAUCAGACACAGCCAAUUUCUGAAAGCAUUGGAUCCAUAGCAAGCUUUGCUGUAUGAUGCUUAAGCAGAAUUUUAAAGGAAGCAUUUCAGGAUUUUUAGUCAAGUAAAGCAUUAGUAUGAAAGAAAAAAGGAUAAAUAAACUCCCCUCAGGUUGAAAAGAGUUGAUACAGUUUUGAUUAUUUUUUUUCCUAAUGUAUAAGAGUAUUUUUUUAAAAUAUAUAAUUAAUGGAAUUACAUUCUGAGGACGAAGAUAAAAGAAUAUCUAAGAUCUACUACUAUUACUUUUUUUUUAAAAGUAAAUAUUAUAUUUUCCUUUGAAAGCAAAGGCAAGCGAAGUAUUUUCCAAAUAGAAAGAGCAAAACCUAUUUAGAAGA